AUUAGAGUUUGAUCAUGGCUCAGGAUGAACGCUAGCGAUAGGCCUAACACAUGCAAGUCGAGGGGCAUCGGGACGUAGCAAUACGUUGCCGGCGACCGGCGGAUGGGUGAGUAACGCGUAUGCAACCUACCCGUAGCAGGGGGAUAGCCCGUUGAAAGACGGAUUAAUACCCCGUAACACAGGGGCUCCGCAUGGAGAUUAUUGUUAAAGGGUCAUUUCUUUUAGAGGUGGUCCGGCUACGGAUGGGCAUGCGUUCCAUUAGGUAGUUGGUGUAGGUAACGGCUCACCAAGCCGACGAUGGAUAGGGGAACUGAGAGGUUGGUCCCCCACACUGGUACUGAGACACGGACCAGACUCCUACGGGAGGCAGCAGUGAGGAAUUUUGGUCAAUGGACGCAAGUCUGAACCAGCCAUGUCGCGUGAAGGAGGACGGCCCUAAGGGUUGUAAACUUCUUUUGCAGUGGAAUAAAGUUUGCCACGUGUUGGCGAUUUGCAAGUACGCUGCGAAUAAGGAUCGGCUAACUCCGUGCCAGCAGCCGCGGUAAUAAU
rnacentral:rRNA from 1 species